rnacentral:rRNA from 1 species
AAAGAAUUUCGGUAUGGGAUGGGGAUGCGUUCCAUUAGUUAGUUGGCGGGGUAACGGCCCACCAAGACAACGAUGGAUAGGGGUUCUGAGAGGAAGGUCCCCCACAUUGGAACUGAGACACGGUCCAAACUCCUACGGGAGGCAGCAGUGAGGAAUAUUGGUCAAUGGACGAGAGUCUGAACCAGCCAAGUAGCGUGAAGGAUGACUGCCCUACGGGUUGUAAACUUCUUUUAUAUGGGAAUAAAAUGUUCCACGUGUGGGAUUUUGUAUGUACCAUAUGAAUAAGGAUCGGCUAACUCCGUGCCAGCAGCCGCGGUAAUACGGAGGAUCCGAGCGUUAUCCGGAUUUAUUGGGUUUAAAGGGAGCGUAGGUGGAUUGUUAAGUCAGUUGUGAAAGUUUGCGGCUCAACCGUAAAAUUGCAGUUGAAACUGGCAGUCUUGAGUACAGUAGAGGUGGGCGGAAUUCGUGGUGUAGCGGUGAAAUGCUUAGAUAUCACGAAGAACUCCGAUUGCGAAGGCAGCUCACUGGACUGCAACUGACACUGAGGCUCGAAAGUGUGGGUAUCAAACAGGAUUAGAUACCCUGGUAGUCCACACAGUAAACGAUGAAUACUCGCUGUUUGCGAUAUAC